AUUGAACGCUGGCGGCAGGCCUAACACAUGCAAGUCGAGCGGAGCGGCGGACGGGUGAGUAAUGCCUAGGAAUCUGCCUGUGAGUGGGGGAUAACGUCCGGUAACGGGCGCUAAUACUGAAUACUAUCAGAAGAGGCUAGGUGGGAUUAGCUAGUUGGUGGGGUAAGGGCCAACCAAGGCGACGAUCCGUAACUGGUCUGAGAGGAUGAUCAGUCACACUGGAACUGAGACACGGUCCAGACUCCUACGGGAGGCAGCAGUGGGGAAUAUUGGACAAUGGGCGAAAGCCUGAUGCAGCCAUGCCGCGUGUGUGAAGAAGGUCUUCGGAUUGUAAAGCACUUUAAGUUGGGAGGCGUUACCAACAGAAUAAGCACCGGCUAACUUCGUGCCAGCAGCCGCGGUAAUAC
rnacentral:rRNA from 1 species